rnacentral:lncRNA from 1 species
GAUGUUUAGAAAGUUGCAUAACGCCUAUGUUGACAUGAUAUGUAAUCCAUUUUAUACACCUGGGGAAAAUAUAACAUCAAAGUAAGUACACACCUGGUGAAAAUAUAACAUCAAAGUAAGUACACACCUGGAGAAAUUUUAACAUCAAAGUAAGUACACACCUGGAGAAAAUAUAACAUCAAAGUAAGUACACACCUAGAGAAAAUAUAACAUCAAAGUAAGUACACAUCUGGUGAAAAUACAACAUCAAAGUAAGUACACACCUGGAGAAAAUAUAACAGCAAAGUAAGUACACACCUGGGGAAAAUAUAACAUCAAAGUAAGUACACAUCUGGAGAAAAUAUAACAUCAAAGUAAGUACACACCUGGAGAAAAUAUAACAUCAAAGUAAGAACACACCUGGAGAAAAUAUAACAUCAAAGUAAGUACACACUUGGAGAAAAUAUAACAUCAAAGUAAGUACACACCUGGAGAAAAUAUAACAUCAAAGUAAGUACACACCUAGUGAAAAUAUAACAUCAAAGUAAGUACACACCUGGUGAAAAUAUUACAUCAAAGUAAGUACACACCUGGAGAAAAUAUAACAUCAAAGUAAGUACAUACAGGUAUUUAUGGAAAAGGGCCUCGUUAACGUUCUCACAGGUACAAUCGACUUUUUAGCUCACCUGACCAGAAUGGCCAAGUGAGCUUUUCUCAUCUCUAGGUGACCGUCGUCUGUCAUCAUCCGUCGUUGUUAACUUUUACAAAAAUCUUCUCCUCUGAAACUACGUAGCCAAAUUUAACCAAACUUGGCCACAAUUAUCAUUGGAGGUAUCUAGUUUAAAAAAAUGUGUCCCUUGACCUGGCCAACCAACCAAGAUGGCCACCAUGUCUUAAAAUAGAACAAAGGGGUAAAAUGUAGAUUUUGGCUUAUAUCUCUGAAACUAAAGCAUUUAGAGCAAAUCUGACGGGGUUCAAAUUGUUUAUUAGGUUAAGAUCUAUCUGCCCUGAAAUUUUCAAUUGAAUCGGAUAACCUAAACCAGUUGGUAUAUUGCUGCCCUUGAAUUGGUAAUUUUAAGGAAAUUUUGCCGUUUUUUGGUUAUCUUGAAUAUUAUUAUAGAUAGAGAUAAAAUGUAAACAGCAAUAAUGUUCAGCAACGUAAGAUCUACAAAUAAGUUAACAUGACCAAAUUGGUCUGUUGAUCCCUUAAGGAGUUAUUGUUCUUUAUAGGCAAUUUUUAACAAUUUUUCGUAAAACUACUGAGACAAAUUUAACUAAACUUGUCCACAAUCAUCAUUAGGGUAUCAAGUUUAAAAAUUGUGUCCGAUGACCCCACCCACGAGUUAAGAUGGCGGUUAUGGCUGAAAUAGUACAUAGGAUGAAAUGCAGUUUUUACCUGUUGUUGGGUUGCUGCCCCUGAAUUGGUAAUUUUAAGAAAAUUUUGCAGCUUUUGGUUAUUAUCUUGAAUAUUAUUAUAGAUAGAGAUAAACUGUUAACAGCAAUAAUGUACAGCAAAGUAAGACCUACCAAUAAGUCAACUUGAACAAAAUUGUCAAUUGACCCCUUAAGGAGUUAUUGCCCUUUAUAUUCAAUUUUUAAUAAUUUUAAUAAAUUUUGUAAAUUUUUAUAAAAUAUUUUCCACUGUAACUACUGGGCCAAGUUCAUUAUAGAUAGAGAUAAUUGAUAAUUGUAAGCACUUAGCAGCAAGAAUGUUCAGUAAAGUAAGAUCUACAAACACAUUACCUUCACCAAAACACAAUUUUGUCAUGAAUCCAUCUGUGUCCUAUUUUUAAUAUGCACAUAGACCAAGGUGAGCGACACAGGCUCUAAAAGCCUCUAGUUUUAAAUGAGUUACGCCCUUUGGAAAUAUUAAAUAAGUGUUUAUGAUCAUAAGAUAGUAUCCAGAAGUAAAUUGUGUAAAAAAUAAAUCAUGUUUAUUCAUAUUUUUAUUAUAAAUAGACAGUUUCUGCCAGUAAACUAUGCCCUCACUAUGGUUAAGUUUGAUAAUUUGCAUAACUUUCUAUCCUGGAAUUGUACCAAACUUGGACAGAAUUUUGUUAAUCAUCAAAAGCUAGUAUCAAGAAAGAAAAAUAUUUUCUGUUUUUCCAUAAAUUACUUAUAAAUGGACUUAGUUUUUCUUCCAGUUAACAUUAUACACAGUCUACAGUUAAAAUUCUUAAAAUAUUUAUUAGGUUCAUAAAGUAGGUGAGACUCUGGGUUCUGCAGAACCCUUUCGAAUUAUUCAAGUUUUUAUUCUUGUUUAUUUUCAUGUGUUUAAAAUACCCUUUAUAUAUUUACAUUAUUUUUAUCUUUUACAGAUCUUUUGAGAACACUGUUAGAUCAAUGAUGGUUCAAGAUUGAAGGACUGUAGAUAUUUUUGUAAACGUGUCCUCUUUAUUAUAAAUCAGCUUGUAAGCUGGAACAGUAGAAUGGACUUAUAACUCUACUAGCUGUGAUACAUUCCCUUGAGAGAGAAACAUGUGCAAUAUGUAAUGGUUGAUUGUUGUUUGAUAUGAUCAAAAUUAAAAUAUUUAAAUGAAA